GUUUCAAUUCCUCAUAGGCAGGCUAUCGGCAAAUUCUCCCGCGCUUCCCUAUAUCGUGCCAGUUUG
rnacentral:sRNA from 1 species